rnacentral:rRNA from 1 species
AACGAACGCUGGCGGCACGCCUAACACAUGCAAGUCGAACGAGACCUUCGGGUCUAGUGGCGCACGGGUGCGUAACGCGUGGGAACCUGCCCUUAGGUUCGGAAUAACUCCCCGAAAGGGGUGCUAAUACCGGAUAAUGUCUUCGGACCAAAGAUUUAUCGCCUUUGGAUGGGCCCGCGUUGGAUUAGCUAGUUGGUAGGGUAAAAGCCUACCAAGGCGACGAUCCAUAGCUGGUCUGAGAGGAUGAUCAGCCACACUGGGACUGAGACACGGCCCAGACUCCUACGGGAGGCAGCAGUGGGGAAUAUUGGACAAUGGGCGAAAGCCUGAUCCAGCAAUGCCGCGUGAGUGAUGAAGGCCUUAGGGUUGUAAAGCUCUUUUACCCGGGAUGAUAAUGACAGUACCGGGAGAAUAAGCGCCGGCUAACUCCGUG